AGAGUUUGAUCCUGGCUCAGGAUGAACGCUGGCGGCGUGCCUAAUACAUGCAAGUCGAACGGAGAAUGUAGCAAUAUAUUCUUAGUGGCGAACGGGUGAGUAACGCGUUGGUGACCUGCCCCGAAGAGGGGGAUAACAGCCCGAAAGGACUGCUAAUACCCCAUGUGGUCAUUAGGAUUAGAUGCCUUUUGACUAAAGGAGAAAUUCACUUUGGGAGGGGCCUGCGUCCCAUCAGCUAGUUGGUAAGGUAACGGCUUACCAAGGCUAUGACGGGUAGGGGACCUGAGAGGGUGACCCCCCACAAUGGAACUGAAACACGGUCCAUACACCUACGGGUGGCAGCAGUAGGGAAUAUUGGUUAAUGUGCGAAAGCGCGAACCAGCAACGCCGCGUGUGCGAUGAAGGCCUUCGGGUCGUAAAGCACUUUUUGAAGGAAAGAGGAAGGACGGUACCUUCAGAAUACGCCUCGGCUAACUACGUGCCAGCAGCCGCGGUAAAACGUAGGAGGCGAGCGUUAUCCGGAUUUACUGGGUGUAAAGCGCGUGCAGGCGGUUCGGAAAGUUGGAUGUGAAAGCUCCCGGCUUAACUGGGAGAGGUCGUUCAAUACUUCCGGACUAGAGGAUGAGAGAGGAAGGUGGAAUUCCGUGUGUAGUGGUGAAAUGCGUAGAUAUACGGAGGAACACCUGUGGCGAAAGCGACCUUCUGGCUCAUUUCUGACGCUCAGACGCGAAAGCUAGGGUAGCAAACGGGAUUAGAGACCCCGGUAGUCCUAGCUGUAAACGAUGUGGACUUGGCGUCGGUGGGGUAAAAUCCAUCGGUGUCGAAGCUAACGCGGUAAGUCCACCACCUGGGGACUACGGCCGCAAGGUUAAAACUCAAAGGAAUUGACGGGGGCCCGCACAAGCAGCGGAGCGUGUGGUUUAAUUCGAUUUUACACGAAGAACCUUACCAGGGUUUGACAUGCAAGUGGUAGGGAUCCGAAAGGUGACCGACCCUUCGGGGAGCUUGCACAGGUGCUGCAUGGCUGUCGUCAGCUCGUGUCGUGAGAUGUUCGGUUAAGUCCGCUAACGAGCGCAACCCUCGUCGUGCGUUACAUGUGUCACACGAGACCGCCGGUCUUAAGCCGGAGGAAGGUGGGGAUGACGUCAAGUCAGCAUGGCCUUUAUGUCCUGGGCUACACACACGCUACAAUGGUCAGUACAACAGGUUGCGAAGCCGCGAGGCGGAGCCAAUCCCAAAAAGCUGGCCUCAGUUCAGAUUGUAGGCUGCAACUCGCCUACAUGAAGUCGGAGUUGCUAGUAACCGCAGGUCAGCUAUACUGCGGUGAAUACGUUCCCGGGCCUUGUACACACCGCCCGUCACGUCAUGGGAGCUGGCAACACCUGAAGACGGUAUCCU
rnacentral:rRNA from 1 species